GUUAUAGGGUCAAGUGACUAAGUGCAUGUGGUGGAUGCCUUGGCGAUUACAGGCGACGAAGGACGUGAUAGCCUGCGAUAAGCUUCGGGGAGCUGGCAAAUUAGCUUUGAUCCGGAGAUUUCCGAAUGGGGAAACCCACCGAAAGGUAUCGUAUUCUGAAUACAUAGGGAUACGAGGCGAACCGGGUGAACUGAAACAUCUCAGUAGCUCGAGGAAAAGACAUCAACCGAGAUUCCGAAAGUAGUGGCGAGCGAAAUCGGAGUAGCCCUCGCGUUUUAGCAGUUUGUAUA
rnacentral:rRNA from 1 species